ensembl:snRNA U6 U6 spliceosomal RNA
GUACUUGCUUUGGCAGCACGUACACUAAGAUUCAAAGGUUACAGAGAAGAUUAGCCUGACCCCCGCAAAAGGAGGACAUACAAAUUCUUUAAGUGUUCCACAUUUUU